ACCUUCGGGCCUCUUGCCAUCAGAUGUGCCCAGAUGGGAUUAGCUUGUUGGUGAGGUAACGGCUCACCAAGGCGACGAUCCCUAGCUGGUCUGAGAGGAUGACCAGCCACACUGGAACUGAGACACGGUCCAGACUCCUACGGGAGGCAGCAGUGGGGAAUAUUGCACAAUGGGCGCAAGCCUGAUGCAGCCAUGCCGCGUGUAUGAAGAAGGCCUUCGGGUUGUAAAGUACUUUCAGCGGGGAGGAAGGUGUUGUGGUUAAUAACCGCAGCAAUUGACGUUACCCGCAGAAGAAGCACCGGCUAACUCCGUGCCAGCAGCCGCGGUAAUACGGAGGGUGCAAGCGUUAAUCGGAAUUACUGGGCGUAAAGCGCACGCAGGCGGUCUGUCAAGUCGGAUGUGAAAUCCCCGGGCUCAACCUGGGAACUGCAUUCGAAACUGGCAGGCUUGAGUCUUGUAGAGGGGGGUAGAAUUCCAGGUGUAGCGGUGAAAUGC
rnacentral:rRNA from 2 species